GGGGAUUUAGCUCAGUGGUAGAGCGUUUGCCUAGCAAGCACAAGGCCCUGGAUUUGGUCCCCA
rnacentral:tRNA from 1 species